rnacentral:lncRNA from 1 species
ACAGAUCUAUCGAAGUUGACCUUAAGAAAACUCGAAGGUGGGGGGCUUUCAGAUGAAAAACACUUUAUGAAAUGCUACCGAAGCAGAAUGGAAACCUCGGAUAUUUCGAUCUGUCAAGGUCCCUUUGAUAAAUAUGAUAAGAUGGAGCUCCGCUGCCUGCACACGAGCUUUUGAUAAUGCAAACCAUUGAGUUAAACAUAUCAUUUUACGAAAAGAAAAUUGAUAAUGUAAUGAUGUUAAUUCCUUUUAAAAUUUAUGAAAAUUAUAUGAGACUAAACAAAAAUGAAAACGAAUAUAUAUAUACACAAUACAGACAUACAGACAUACAUACAGACAUACAUACAUACGUACAGACAUACAUACAUACAUACAUACAUACAUACAUACAUACAUACAUACAGAAUACAUACAUACAGACAUACAGACAUACACACACACACACACAUACAUACAGACACACAUACAUACAUACA